GGGUUGUGAGGUUAAGCGACUAAGCGUACACGGUGGAUGCCCUGGCAGUCAGAGGCGAUGAAGGACGUGCUAAUCUGCGAUAAGCGUCGGUAAGGUGAUAUGAACCGUUAUAACCGGCGAUUUCCGAAUGGGGAAACCCAGUGUGUUUCGACACACUAUCAUUAACUGAAUCCAUAGGUUAAUGAGGCGAACCGGGGGAACUGAAACAUCUAAGUACCCCGAGGAAAAGAAAUCAACCGAGAUUCCCCCAGUAGCGGCGAGCGAACGGGGAGGAGCCCAGAGCCUGAAUCAGUGUGUGUGUUAGUGGAAGCGUCUGGAAAGGCGCGCGAUACAGGGUGACAGCCCCGUACACAAAAAUGCACAUGCUGUGAGCUCGAUGAGUAGGGCGGGACACGUAGUAUCCUGUCUGAAUAUGGGGGGACCAUCCUCCAAGGCUAAAUACUCCUGACUGACCGAUAGUGAACCAGUACCGUGAGGGAAAGGCGAAAAGAACCCCGGCGAGGGGAGUGAAAAAGAACCUGAAACCGUGUACGUACAAGCAGUGGGAGCAUGCUUAGGCGUGUGACUGCGUACCUUUUGUAUAAUGGGUCAGCGACUUAUAUUCUGUAGCAAGGUUAACCGAAUAGGGGAGCCGAAGGGAAACCGAGUCUUAACUGGGCGUUAAGUUGCAGGGUAUAGACCCGAAACCCGGUGAUCUAGCCAUGGGCAGGUUGAAGGUUGGGUAACACUAACUGGAGGACCGAACCGACUAAUGUUGAAAAAUUAGCGGAUGACUUGUGGCUGGGGGUGAAAGGCCAAUCAAACCGGGAGAUAGCUGGUUCUCCCCGAAAGCUAUUUAGGUAGCGCCUCGUGAACUCAUCUCUGGGGGUAGAGCACUGUUUCGGCAAGGGGGUCAUCCCGACUUACCAACCC
rnacentral:rRNA from 1 species